GAAGCAGGACAAAAAGGAUUCCAUUUUAAGCAAGUGUAGAAGAAAGAGCACAGACUCAGCACUCUUGGGACCUGGCUUUGCAGCUCGGCUCUGCCAAAAACAACGUUGGACAUUUCACUCAUGCUCUCUGAGCCUCAGAGUCGUCAGCUACAUUGCCUGCUCCUGCAGAGGGCUGCUGCCAUGUCAUGAGCACUCUCAAGCAGCUCUAGCAAGGGGUCAUGUCACGAGGAACUGAGACCUUCUGCCAAUAGCUGUGUGAAUGAGCCAUCAUGGAGGCAGGUCCUCCAGCCCCAGUCAAGCCUUCAGAUGAUGGCAGCCCCAGCUGAUGAUUUGACUGCAAACUCUCAUGCAACCAGGAAUAAGAACCACUCAGCAGAACCACUCCCAAUUUCCUGACCCACAGAAACUGUGAGAUAAAUAAAUAUUGUUUUAA